rnacentral:misc_RNA from 1 species
UACGUAGGGGGCAAGCGUUGUCCGGAAUUAUUGGGCGUAAAGCGCGCGCAGGCGGUCUCGUAAGUCUGAUGUGAAAGCCCACGGCUCAACCGUGGAGGGUCAUUGGAAACUGGGAGACUUGAGUGUAGGAGAGGAAAGUGGAAUUCCACGUGUAGCGGUGAAAUGCGUAGAUAUGUGGAGGAACACCAGUGGCGAAGGCGACUUUCUGGCCUACAACUGACGCUGAGGCGCGAAAGCGUGGGGAGCAAACAGG